rnacentral:rRNA from 1 species
AUUGAACGCUGGCGGCAGGCCUAACACAUGCAAGUCGAACGAGUGGCGGACGGGUGAGUAAUGUCUGGGAAACUGCCUGAUGGAGGGGGAUAACUACUGGAAACGGUAGCUAAUACCGCAUACCAUCGGAUGUGCCCAGAUGGGAUUAGCUAGUAGGUGGGGUAAAGGGUCACCUAGGCGACGAUCCCUAGCUGGUCUGAGAGGAUGACCAGGCAAACUGGGAACUAGAAAACGGCCAGGCUCCCAAGGGGAGCAAGAGGGGGGAAUUAUGGAACAAUGGCGCAAGGCUGAAGGCACCCUGCCGGGUGGAAGAAGGAAGGCUUUGGGUUGGUAAGGUCUUUCAGGCGGGAAGCGUUACCCGCAGAAGAAGCACCGGCUAACUCCGUGCCAGCAGCCGCGGUAAUAC